ACUCAACAACAGGAUCCUCAGCAUGUUUGCAGUCUGUCUGGACUUUCUGCUCUCUGAACACUUCUGUCAUCUAUAUAUAUAUGCCCGCAGAAGUUCACGGAACAGGUGUUUUUUUCAUGGCUGAUGCCCACAGGGCACAUGCUGGUCACUGAGGUGCCUUCGAGGAAAUCACAUCCCAUUUAAAUCUGGGGAAAAUCUGAUUAGGUCUUUCUUCCGCCUGUCGUCAUGAGAGUGUCAGCAGAGGCUGCUGUGCCCCGGCCCAUCAUCCAGCGCUCCAUCAGAUAACGGGAAACUCGACACCACAUCGGGAGAUUUUUUCCAUCGCUGAUAGCGCCUCGCAGUCUGGCAAGCUGCAAAGAACGCUGCAGAUCCCGUGGGGUUCGAGUACAUGCUCUGAAUGUCCAUCACACACAUUGGCCAUGACCCCAAUGGACGAAUGUCCCCUGCACGCUUUGAUGCAGGUUCACAGCGUUGCGGGCAGGUGAAAGCUCUCAGAGCUCGUCACAGCAUGUCAUGUCAACAACAGCGUGUUCCUCGAGAGACACGUCACAUUCACAGAGGUCAAACAUGCUUUAUGCUGGUUUAUUCACAUGUAUAUUUGAUAGUCCACCUCAGAAUAUAUGGGCCAUUCUAUAAUUAGGGGUACAUUUAGAAUUUGACAAUAUGUUCCCCAAACAUGACCUUACAUAACUGCUUUGAAACAAUCUAUAUUGUAUAAAGUGCUAUAUAAACAAAGGUGAUCUGUAGGAAUAUGUGCAUAAAAUACCAUCUAUGUUUGCUACUGUCCACCAUGUCACCUUUACUGGGUAACACAGUUGACAGGUAACUUAGUUGACAUUUUUUUUGUGUGUUUUGGGCCUAUACUCAACAUGGAAGCCUAGAACUACUGAGCAUAUGGUAUGUUUAGAAACAUAUUUUCAUGUUGGUGCCAAUAGCCUCGUGGUUAGCCGCCGACAUAUAGCGCCAUUCCGUCGUGGGCAACCUUUCCUGAUCCCACCCCCUUCUCUCUCUCUCCCAAUUUGCUUCCUGUCCAACUACACUGUCCUAUCUAAAUAAAGGCAUAAAAACACCAAAAAAAAAAAAAAAAAGAAAUUUUAGAAUCAAAACAUAAGUUUUAGUUACAUUGUCUUGUUAAAAUUUGCAGCAAUAAUACUUGGGUAACACUGUUGACAGUUGAUUAAUCCACUCUUGACACAGGUUUGCUAGUUUAACCAAUAUUAGAGGAAAGAGAGAGAACAUAACUUCUAGAGUUUCAUCUAUGUGCUUCUAGAUGAAAUAUCAUCAUACCAUGCAAAUUAUGCGAGAAUCGGCAAACCAUUCCUUUUGAGGGGGUUUUUCUAGUGGGUAGCUUGGUUGACAUUGGUUUUUCAGACACAAACAAAUUAUAUCACAAAUAAACACUUCUUAUUUUUUGAAGCACACACCCAAAUCUCUUGGUAACCUAAUCCAGGGGUGCCCCGACCCUGUGCCUGGAGAUCGACCUUCCUGCAGAGUUUAGUUCCAACCCUGAUCAAACACAUAUGUCUGUAAUUAUCAAGUGCUCCUUCAGAUCCUAAUUAGCUGGUAGUAGAGUGAGCAACUUUAUAAAAUCGGACAGCUGAAUACUAAGGUUGUAUGUGAUAUAAACAUCAUUUUUGAACAAAAGAUACGGCUUUUUCAACAUAUAGUGGUGUGGUUGGGACAAAUAUAAUUGUGUGCUAGAAAAUUUAGCAUCUGGGCUUUAUAUUGAUGAAAAUAUAUUAAAAAUAUACUUCACGGACAUGUACCCCCAAUUAUAAAACGUCUCAUGUGAAUUUAUAUGUUAUUACUGUAACAAUAUACUGUCUUACAAUAUAUUAGAAUACAAGUAGGCUUUUUAAUUUAGAAGCAUUUAUUUUGCAUUUGGAGUGAUUUGAACAGUUCCAAACAUGUAUUAAACUUGGGCCGGUGUGUAACCAAUUAGAAUACCCAAGUGAUCGCAUAGCAACUCACUAAAAAUACAUUCAGAACAGCUUAGCAACUGCAUAGUGAUGCCCUGGCAAUCAGUUACUAUCCUAGUGAGAGUUUGUAAACAUAAAAACCUAGUUAUCCACACAAAUGUUUGAGAUUUCAACUCGCAUACAAUUUAUUUGCAGCGCAGAGACUGAAAAUCACAUGGAUUAGAAGCAACCCAUCAUCAGAAGAUUGUGUAUCGGCACUUUGGGUUUUAAAAUGUGAGCUGACAGCUCUGCAUUUCCAUAAAUGAUCUGUGCGAACCGCCGGAUGAUGUUUUGAUUGAUUGGUGCUGGCUGAAAUUCAGACGCAGAACGUAUUGACUUCAGCAUUCUUCUUAUAUCUGCGGGUGGUCUUGAGUGAUGUCACAGGUUAGGGUCAUGUGACCAUGUUGACAGCGGCCGAUGCAAGACCGAGAGCAAGGUCGAGCAGCAGUCAGUUACUGCUUACAGUUACAGUUACUUGCUCAGGCGACUGUCUGUCUGUUCGUCUGUCCAUCUAUCUAUAAAUUCAUCUGCCUAUCCAUCCAUCCGUCAUUUGUCUAUCUAUCUAUCUAUCUGUCUGUCUGUCUGUCUGUCUGUUUAUCUAUCUAUCUAUCUAUCUAUCUAUCUAUCUAUCUAUCUAUCCAUAUAGCUAUCUAUGUAUCCAUAU